AUACUACUCCCUCCAUUCCGAAUUACUUGUCGCACGUAUGGAUGUAUCUAGAUGUAUUUUAGUUCUAGAUACAUCCAUUUUAGUGACAAGUAUUUUGGGACGGAGGGAGUAUUUC
rnacentral:pre_miRNA from 1 species